rnacentral:rRNA from 1 species
ACGAACGCUGGCGGCGUGCUUAACACAUGCAAGUCGAACGGUAAGGCGCUUUCGGGCGUACACGAGUGGCGAACGGGUGAGUAACACGUGAGGAACGUGCCCUUGACUUUGGUAUAGCACUUGGAAACAGGUGGUAAUCCCGAAUAUUCAGUUUCCCGGGCAUCCGGGUUGUUGGAAAGUUUUUUGCGGUCAGGGAUCGUCUCGCGGCCUAUCAGCUUGUUGGUGGGGUAGUGGCCCACCAAGGCCUUGACGGGUAGCCGGCCUGAGAGGGCGACCCGGGCCCACAUUUGGGGACUGAGAUACGGGCCCCAGACUUCCUAACGGGGAGGGCAAGCAAGUGGGGGAAAUAUUUGCCAACAAAUGGGGCGGGAAAGCCCUGAAUGCCAAGCAAACCGCCCGCCGUUGCC